UUCUUCUUCUGGGCCCUGGAGAUGAAUCUCCAUCUGUUUCUCCAAGGAGAGUUCAUGGCUUUUAGGGCUCGUAGGAAAUACUUAUUAGAAUAAGCUCUCUAUCGACUGCUCCAGCCCAUCUUCCAGUUUCCAGGCAAUUUAAGGAUGCCGCAAGGUAUUUAUUGGUCCGAUUCUCGUCGCCGGCACUGAUGACAGGAGGGGUUAGAGGAAGCUGCCGCGGAGUGAGUGCUGGUGCCAGACCUUCAGCUCCGUGAGAGUGGGGAUCAAAUCUGUUUUGUUUUCUAUUGUCGCCUGCAGCUGGGACGGCGCCUGACAGCCAACAGGCCCGAGGACUGUCGAAGGAGCCCAGCCUGUGAAGGUGAUGUGAUGCGAGCGACCUCGGCAGCCAACUGUCCCGUGGCCGAUGGAGCCAGAAAGAUCCCUUGAGGACACUGAGAUGCUUAGCAACAGGCACAGGGGAAGUGACUCGGGAUUCGGCAGAAGGAAGGAAGGAAGAGCUCCUCUUACAGAGGAUGAAACACGCAAAAGAGGACUGGUAACAGUUUGGAGGACAGCCCCAGGUGGCUCCGGGGAAACUUGUCAGACUUCUUGUCGUGGGAAAAACAAGAAGCCUUGUGGGAACAGUGUCUGGGGCUCAGCCAGGAGCAAAUAUUAAAAAGAAAAAAAAAAUUGUAGAAACCAACAAAGAAGCUAAAUCAACACCAAACCAAAAACCUCAUUUUGCUAUAAACCAGAUGCAUUCUGGGAAUCACCACAAACCAUACUCUUAAAUCCUUCAUAUUUUUGUUUAUCAGUGAUUUUUUUUCCAGAAUGUAUCUUCGUUGUAUUAGGCACACAUCAUAGAAGGCAGACAAACUGUUUCUGUCUUGCAGUUAAAUGUCCGUGAGAACCGUUUGGGCCAGCAAGGAGACUUUCAGGCUAAAUCCAAAAAUCUGUUUCUAUUUGUAAUCAGUUUAAAGAUACCCAGAGGGUAGACCCAACAGUCUGUACUAAUUACACACUCAGCCCUGACUCUCAUGUCCCUUGUGUUGCAGAUUAGAUAAUCCCUUGAAAUUAUCCUCCAUCCUUAAAAUCUGCACUUUGGGUUGAAAAGUUUCUCUGCACUGGGCGAGGCCCUCGGUGAGAAGCCCCCCCCCACCGAGCUGUUCCGUCUCCCAGUGGAGUUCCUAAGACAGGCAGUACCAUCCUGGGAGCUGGGCUGGCUCAGUUACUGGCCGACGGUUUCCCCUUUGACAAGUUAUGUCCCCUUGCUCUGGGUUUUGGUCUGGGCAAACUGGAUUUCCCUUGAGUUUUAUGUCUGAUUCUGAAGCUCUUGAGGCCCAGCGAAGGGCACAGUCGACUGGAGGCUGUGAUCUUUCCCCUACGCACAGCAGCCGAGGUGGCUGUUCCCACCAGAGCAUCUGUGCGCGCACAGAGUCAACCAGUUGCUUCUCCCGGGGUGUGAGUCUUCCGUGAGGUUCACCAGCUCCUGAAUUCUGAAUCCUCUCUCUCCUCGAGGUGGUCUGUGGUCUAAUCUUGGAUGAGAGACCCUGGCAAUAAAUAAACCCAUGCUGGACUGUG